GUACCAUAACCGACACAGGUGGGUAAGUAGAGUAUACUAAGGGGCGCGAGAUAACUCUCUCUAAGGAACUCGGCAAAAUAACUCCGUAACUUCGGGAGAAGGAGUGCCUUAUUCUUAAGGUUGCAAUAACAAGAUCCAAGCAACUGUUUAUCAAAAACACAGGUCUCCGCUAAGUCGUAAGACGAUGUAUGGGGGCUGACGCCUGCCCAGUGCCAGAAGGUUAAAGAAGUCGGUUAGCAAUAGCAAAGCUGGUAACUGAAGCCCUGGUGAAUGGCGGCCGUAACUAUAACGGUCCUAAGGUAGCGAAAUUCCUUGUCGGGUAAGUUCCGACCCGCUCGAAAGGCGUAAUGAUUUGGAUGCUGUCUCGGAGAGGAGCUCGGUGAAAUAGACUUGUCUGUGAAGAUGCGGACUACCUGCACCAGGACAGAAAGACCCUAUGAAGCUUUACUGUAACUUGAAAUUGAAAUUGGACUUUAUUCGCGCAGUAUAGGUGGGAGGCGUUGAUUAUAAUCUUGUGGGAUUAUUGGAGCCAUCAGUGUGAUACCACUCUUGUAAUGUUAGAUUUCUAACUUUGAAUCAUUAUCUGGUCAAAGGACAGUUUCAGGCGGGCAGUUUGACUGGGGCGGUCGCCUCCUAAACGGUAACGGAGGCGUACAAAGGUUUCCUCUGAACGGUUAGAAAUCGUAUCUAGAGUGUAAAGGCAUAAGGAAGCUUGACUGUGAGACCUACAAGUCGAGCAGGGACGAAAGUCGGUCUUAGUGAUCUGACGGUACUGAGUGGAAAGGCCGUCACUCAACGGAUAAAAGUUACUCUAAGGAUAACAGGCUGAUCUCCCCCAAGAGUUCACAUCGACGGGGAGGUUUGGCACCUCGAUGUCGGCUCAUCGCAUCCUGGGGCGGUAGUACGUCCCAAGGGUUGGGCUGUUCGCCCAUGAAAGCGGUACGCGAGCUGGGUUCGGAACGUCGUGAGACAGUUCGGUCCAUAUCCGGUGUAGGCGCUAGAAUAUUGAGAGGAGCCUUCUUUAGUACGAGAGGACCGAGAAGGACAUGCCUCUGGUGUACCAGUUAUCGUGCCAACGGUAAACGCUGGGUAGCUAUGUAUGGAGUGGAUAACCGCUGAAAGCAUCUAAGUGGGAAGCCCACCUCAAGAUAAGUAUUCUCAUCACGUAAGUGAGUAAGGUCACGGUAAGACUAACCGUUUGAUAGGCAUUAAGUGUAAGUACAGUAAUGUAUGUGCUGAAAUGUCCUAAUAGACCGAGGACUUC
rnacentral:rRNA from 1 species